rnacentral:rRNA from 1 species
CCUACGGGUGGCAGCAGUGGGGAAUAUUGCACAAUGGGGGAAACCCUGAUGCAGCGACGCCGCGUGAGCGAUGAAGUAUUUCGGUAUGUAAAGCUCUAUCAGCAGGGAAGAAAAUGACGGUACCUGACUAAGAAGCCCCGGCUAACUACGUGCCAGCAGCCGCGGUAAUACGUAGGGGGCAAGCGUUAUCCGGAUUUACUGGGUGUAAAGGGAGCGUAGACGGUUCUGCAAGCCAGAUGUGAAAGCCCGGGGCUCAACCCCGGGACUGCAUUUGGAACUGUAAGGCUAGAGUGUCGGAGAGGCAGGCGGAAUUCCUAGUGUAGCGGUGAAAUGCGUAGAUAUUAGGAGGAACACCAGUGGCGAAGGCGGCUUGCUGGACGAUGACUGACGUUGAGGCUCGAAAGCGUGGGGAGCAAACAGGAUUAGAUACCCCGGUAGUC